GCAGCGGCAACGCCGAGUCCGCCAUCGCGCGGAGCCGGGGACCCACCACGCACUGGGGUGAAUCGGCCUGCCCCGCAGGCCGUAGGGCGACUUCCACGUCCGAACCCGUCAGCUAACCCGGUAGGCGGCAUGGAAGCCAAGG
rnacentral:sRNA from 1 species